CAAUAGCGUAUAUUAAAGUUGUUGCAGUUAAAAAGCUCGUAGUUGGAUUUCUGGUAGGAGCGACCGUGCCGAACUUGAUUGUUCGAGUAUUGUGUUGUCUUCAGACAUCCUCGUGGAGAACUUUUCUAACAUUAACUUGUUGGGAUUGGGACCCGCGUCGUUUACUGUGAAAAAAUUAGAGUGUUUAAAGCAGGCAUUAGCUUGAAUACAUUAGCAUGGAAUAAUAAGAUAGGACUUUGGUACUAUUUUGUUGGUUUGCAUACCAAAUUAAUGAUCAACAGGAACAGUUUGAGGAUAUUCGUAUGAACAUGUCAGAGGUGAAAUUCUUGGAUUUUGAUCAGACGAACUACUGCGAAAGCAUUUAUCAAGGAUGGUUUCAUUAA
rnacentral:rRNA from 1 species